rnacentral:rRNA from 1 species
AUUGAACGCUGGCGGUAUGCUUAACACAUGCAAGUCGAACGGUAGCAGCUCUUCGGAGGCUGACGAGUGGCGGACGGGUGAGUAACGCGUAGGAAUCUGCCUGUUAGUGGGGGACAACUUAGGGAAACUUAAGCUAAUACCGCAUACGCCUACGGGGAAAGGAGGGGAGUCUUCGGACCUUUCGCUAACAGAUGAGCCUGCGUAGGAUUAGCUUGUUGGUAAGGUAAGAGCUUACCAAGGCGACGAUCAGUAUCUGGUUUGAGAGGACGAUCAGACACACUGGAACUGAGACACGGUCCAGACUCCUACGGGAGGCAGCAGUGGGAAUUUUCCGCAAUGGGCGAAAGCCUGACGGAGCAAUACCGCGUGAGGGAGAAUGCCUAUGGGUUGGUAAAACCUCUUUCUAGCAGGGAAGAAGCGAAAGUGACGGUACCUGCAGAAGAAG